rnacentral:rRNA from 1 species
AACUAACGCUGGCGGCGUGCCUAACACAUGCAAGUCGUACGAGAAAGCCGGCUUCGGCUGGUGAGUAAAGUGGCGCACGGGUGAGUAACGCGUGGAUAAUCUGCCCUUAAGUGUGGAAUAACGUACCGAAAGGUGCGCUAAUACCGCAUAAUGCCUGGCAACACAAGUUGUCCGGCCAAAGAAGGCCUCUGUUUACAAGCUUUCGCUUCAGGAUGAGUCCGCGUACCAUUAGCUUGUUGGUGGGGUAAUGGCCUACCAAGGCUGCGAUGGUUAGCUGGUCUGAGAGGAUGAUCAGCCACACUGGAACUGAGACACGGUCCAGACUCCUACGGGAGGCAGCAGUGAGGAAUAUUGCGCAAUGGGGCAACCCUGACGCAGCAACGCCGCGUGAGUGAGGAAGGUUUUCGGACUGUAAAGCUCUGUCGAGCGGGAAGAAGUGUACCAUGGCUAAUAUCCAUGAUAUUUGACGGUACCGCUAGAGG